GUACUUGUUUCAGUAGGAUGUACACUAAAAUUGGAAUGAUACAGAGAAGAUUAGCAUGGCCCGUGUGCAAGGAUGACACACAAAUUCAGAAAACAUUCCUUAUGACC
ensembl:snRNA U6 U6 spliceosomal RNA